AACGAACGCUGGCGGCAGGCCUAACACAUGCAAGUCGAGCGAGGACUUCGGUCCUAGCGGCGGACGGGUGAGUAACGCGUGGGAACGUGCCCUUUGCUUCGGAAUAGCCCUGGGAAACUGGGAGUAAUACCGGAUGAGCCCUUUGGGGGAAAGAUUUAUCGGCGAAGGAUCGGCCCGCGUUGGAUUAGGUAGUUGGUGGGGUAAUGGCCUACCAAGCCGACGAUCCAUAGCUGGUUUGAGAGGAUGAUCAGCCACACUGGGACUGAGACACGGCCCAGACUCCUACGGGAGGCAGCAGUGGGGAAUCUUAGACAAUGGGGGAAACCCUGAUCUAGCCAUGCCGCGUGAGCGAUGAAGGCCUUAGGGUUGUAAAGCUCUUUCAGCUUGGAAGAUAAUGACGGUACCAGCAGAAGAAGCCCCGGCUAACUCCGUG
rnacentral:rRNA from 1 species